UACGUAGGGGCCUAGCGUUGUCCGGAAUCAUUGGGCGUAAAGAGCGCGUAGGCGGCCCUGUAAGUCCGCUGUGAAAGUCAAGGGCUCAACCCUUGGAUGCCGGUGGAUACUGCAGGGCUAGAGUCCGGAAGAGGCGAGUGGAAUUCCGUGGUGUAGCGGUGGAAUGCGCAGAUAUCAGGAGGAACACCAAUAGCGAAGGCAGCUCGCUGGGACGUUACUGACACUGAGGCGCGAAAGCGUGGGGAGCGAACAGGA
rnacentral:rRNA from 1 species